rnacentral:rRNA from 1 species
GAUGAACGCUGGCGGUGUGCCUAAUACAUGCAAGUCGAGCGAACAGACGAGGAGCUUACUCCUCUGACGUUAGCGGCGGACGGGUGAGUAACACGUGGAUAACCUACCUAUAAGACUGGGAUAACUUCGGGAAACCGGAGCUAAUACCGGAUAACAUGUUGAACCGCAUGGUUCAACAGUGAAAGACGGUCUUGCUGUCACUUAUAGAUGGAUCCGCGUCGCAUUAGCUAGUUGGUAAGGUAACGGCUUACCAAGGCAACGAUGCGUAGCCGACCUGAGAGGGUGAUCGGCCACACUGGAACUGAGACACAGUCCAGACUCCUACGGGAGGCAGCAGUAGGGAAUCUUCCGCAAUGGGCGAAAGCCUGACGGAGCAACGCCGCGUGAGUGAAGAAGGUCUUCGGAUCGUAAAACUCUGUUAUUAGGGAAGAACAAAUGUGUAAGUAACUAUGCACGUCUUGACGGUACCUAAUCAGAAAGCCACGGCUAACUACGUG